AUUGGACGCUGGCGGCAGGCCUAACACAUGCAAGUCGAGCGGAUGACGGGAGCUUGCUCCUUGAUUCAGCGGCGGACGGGUGAGUAAUGCCUAGGAAUCUGCCUGGUAGUGGGGGAUAACGUUUCGAAAGGAACGCUAAUACCGCAUACGUCCUACGGGAGAAAGCAGGGGACCUUCGGGCCUUGCGCUAUCAGAUGAGCCUAGGUCGGAUUAGCUUGUUGGUGAGGUAAUGGCUCACAAAGGCGACGAUCCGUAACUGGUCUGAGAGGAUGAUCAGUCACACUGGAACUGAGACACGGUCCAGACUCCUACGGGAGGCAGCAGUGGGGAAUAUUGGACAAUGGGCGAAAGCCUGAUCCAGCCAUGCCGCGUGUGUGAAGAAGGUCUUCGGAUUGUAAAGCACUUUAAGUUGGGAGGAAGGGUUGUAGAUUAAUACUCUGCAAUUUUGACGUUACCGACAGAAUAAGCACCGGCUAACUCUGUGCCAGCAGCCGCCGUAA
rnacentral:rRNA from 1 species